AGUCCACUUUAUUUAAAUAAUCAUGAGGAGCGUCUGUUGAACAACUACAUAAGAUAAUGCUAAGAUUUAUAUCGAAGUACAUUCUCUGAUGCCUGUUCGGUGACAUUUAAUAAUUGUCAAACAACUGGGUUUCCAUUAAAGUAGAAAAUAAUUGUCUAAAUAACAAUUAUGCGAAUGGCAUAACGACUUCUCUAUUGUCUCCACUAAGUUCUUUUUGAAAUAGUCGUGGAUUUGAAUAGAAAUCUUGAUAUACUGUGACGGAGAGACCCCGUGCACCUUUACUUCUCUUAAAAGAGUUUUGC
rnacentral:rRNA from 1 species